rnacentral:rRNA from 1 species
GCACCGUAAACGAUGGAUGCUCGUCAUCGGCGAUACACUGUCGGUGACCAAGGGAAACCAUUAAGCAUCCCACCUGGGGAGUACGCCGGCAACGGUGAAACUCAAAGGAAUUGACGGGGGCCCGCACAAGCGGAGGAACAUGUGGUUUAAUUCGAUGAUACGCGAGGAACCUUACCCGGGCUUGAACUGUGAGAGACGGUUGCAGAGAUGCUUCUUCCCUUCGGGGCUCUCACGGAGGUGCUGCAUGGUUGUCGUCAGCUCGUGCCGUGAGGUGUCGGCUUAAGUGCCAUAACGAGCGCAACCCUUGCCUUCAGUUGCCAUCAGGUAGAGCUGGGCACUCUGGAGGGACUGCCAUCGCAAGAUGCGAGGAAGGUGGGGAUGACGUCAAAUCAGCACGGCCCUUACGUCCGGGGCUACACACGUGUUACAAUGGGGGGUACAGAAGGCCGCCAGGCGGCGACGCCGCGCCAAUCCCUAAAUCCCCUCUCAGUUCGGACUGGAGUCUGCAACCCGACUCCACGAAGCUGGAUUCGCUAGUAAUCGCGCAUCAGCCAUGGCGCGGUGAAUACGUUCCCGGGCCUUGUACACACCGCCCGUCAAGCCAUGAAAGCCGGGGGCGCNUNAAGUCCGUUACCGCGAGGAUCGGCCUAGGGCGAAACUGGUGAUUGGGGCU